GCAAAUCUUUUAACAAUUUCUUGAUGAUAUGGAGACAAAACGAACAGCAACUUAUUAACAAUAUACAAAAGAUGAUAACCCACUCAUUAAGUUGUAGAUUUAUCACUUAUUUCAGAAUAUAAUUAAACCGAGUCUAGAUCAAAUCCUGCAAUCAAAAGAUACAAAGUCUUGCUUUGACACACUGCAAGAUACAACUAUUCAGCUUCUACUAUCACUUCACUUCAUUGUAAUCUUUCGUACCAAAGUUCUUGCACCAAAGCUGUGA
rnacentral:misc_RNA from 1 species